CUGCUAUUGGGGUUCGACUAAGCCAUGCGAGUCUAUGGACUUCGGUCCAUGGCGGACGGCUCAGUAACACGUGGUUAACCUACCCUCGGGUGGGGGAUAACCUCGGGAAACUGAGGAUAAUACCCCAUAGGAGAAGAGGUCUGGAAUGAUCCUUCUCUGAAAACAUACGUGCCCGAGGAUGGGGCUGCGUCUGAUUAGGUAGUUGGUGGGGUAAUGGCCCACCAAGCCUACGAUCAGUACGGGCCUUGAGAGAGGCAGCCCGGAGAUGGGGACUGAGACACGGCCCCAGGCCCUACGGGGCGCAGCAGGCGCGAAACCUCCGCAAUGCACGAAAGUGCGACGGGGGGACCCCAAGUGCUUACGCACUGCGUAGGCUUUUCUAAAGUGUAAAAAGCUUUAGGAAUAAGGGCUGGGCAAGUCCGGUGCCAGCAGCCGCGGUAACACCGGCGGCCCGAGUGGUGACCACUUUUAUUGGGCCUAAAGCGUCCGUAGCCGGUCCAGUAAGUCCCUGUUUAAAUCCUACGGCUUAACCGUAGGGCUGGCAGGGAUACUGCUGGACUUGGGACCGGGAGAGGGCGAGGGUACUUCAGGGGUAGCGGUGAAAUGUGUUGAUCCCUGGAGGACCACCUAUGGCGAAGGCACUCGCCUGGAACGGGUCCGACGGUGGGGGACGAAAGCCAGGGGCGCGAACCGGAUUAGGUACCCGGGUAGUCCUGGCCGUAAACUCUGCGGACUAGGUGUUAGGUAGGCCCCGUGCCUAUCUAGUGCCGAAGGGAAGCCGUUA
rnacentral:rRNA from 1 species